rnacentral:rRNA from 1 species
GGGAAAUAGUUAGCACCAGAGAGAGUUAGAGAGUACAGAGAGGGAGAGAAUUUGAGAGUAUAGAGAGAAGGAGGGAGUACAGGAAGAAUGAUGGGUGCACCUUUCGUCUAGCCGUAGAGAGGGUUUUAACCUCGUUCCUUCAACCCCGUACCUUAGACACGCGAGCGGGUAGCUAGAAUAGUGUAAUCUUUAACAAAGAUCAAAUCGAGUCUAGUGGGUCGUACACCGUCAUCUCUUAGUCUAACCCCUAUGUGAACCAGUCUUAACUUCUGUGGCAGUAACUACUAUUCCGAUUGGUAGUUUGUGUACCUACUUGACGCGGGACGGGGACCUGCGUCGACGUCCAGCGACAAGUACUGGUGGUGGUGGUUCAAGAUGUAUACCGGCAUACGAGGUGACGAGAUUCUACUACAACGGGAAAAGUCAACAUAAAGUCAUCAUCUAGACAUCAAUGCAAGUGCGUGAUGAAUGAUCGCGAUGAUCAUCUUUUCCCCCGUAAACAGGGCCAAGCAUUCCCGGAAAUCAGGGCCAAGUACUUGACCCUGAUUACCUAGCAAUAAUUAUGGAGGGGGAAAUCAGGGCCAAGAUUGUGUUUGGCCCUGUUUACCAGGAGGUGCACCGGCCACGCGGCUCGGGUCCGUCCCCCGGAAACCAGGGCCAACCACCGUGGUUGGCCCUGGUUUUCCGCUACAAAAAGAAAAAAAAUUUCUUUUUUACCGACGAAAUCCCCAAAACCCCCAAUAUAAAUCCAACAAUAAUCGAUCGAUUAUCUCUCUUCACAGGAGAGAAUAUAGAAGCAGAAACCAAA